rnacentral:rRNA from 1 species
AGCGAACGCUUUCUUCCUUCCUAACACAUGCCAGUCGAACGAACUCUUCGGAGUUAGUGGCGGACGGGUGAGUAACACGUGGGAACGUGCCUUUAGGUUCGGAAUAACUCAGGGAAACUUGUGCUAAUACCGAAUGUGCCCUUCGGGGGAAAGAUUUAUCGCCUUUAGAGCGGCCCGCGUCUGAUUAGCUAGUUGGUGAGGUAAAGGCUCACCAAGGCGACGAUCAGUAGCUGGUCUGAGAGGAUGAUCAGCCACAUUGGGACUGAGACACGGCCCAAACUCCUACGGGAGGCAGCAGUGGGGAAUCUUGCGCAAUGGGCGAAAGCCUGACGCAGCCAUGCCGCGUGAAUGAUGAAGGUCUUAGGAUUGUAAAAUUCUUUCACCGGGGACGAUAAUGACGGUACCCGGAGAAGAAGCCAAGGCUAACUUCGUG